rnacentral:rRNA from 1 species
AGAUUAGCUUGCUUUAUUUGUCAGCUAAGUGGCGCACGGGUGAGUAAUGUAUAGAUAACCUGCCCUUAAGAAAGGAAUAACAGUUGGAAACGACUGCUAAUGCCCUAUAUGCCUUUAAUACAUAAGUAUGCAAGGGAAACGCUUUAGUGCUUAAGGAUGGGUCUGUAUGGUAUCAGCUUGUUGGUGAGGUAAUGGCUCACCAAGGCUAUGACGCCUAACUGGUUUGAGAGGAUGAUCAGUCACACUGGAACUGAGACACGGUCCAGACUCCUACGGGAGGCAGCAGUGGGGAAUAUUGCACAAUGGACGAAAGUCUGAUGCAGCAACGCCGCGUGGAGGAUGACACAUUUCGGUGCGUAAACUCCUUUUAUAUAGGAAGAUAAUGACGGUACUAUAUGAAUAAGCACCGGCUAACUCCGUGCCAGCAGCCGCGGUAAUACGGAGGGUGCAAGCGUUACUCGGAAUCACUGGGCGUAAAGAGCGUGUAGGCGGGUAUAUAAGUCAGAAGUGAAAUCCUAUAGCCUAACUAUAGAACUGCUUUUGAAACUGUAUACCUAGAAUGUGGGAGAGGUAGAUGGAAUUUCUGG